rnacentral:rRNA from 1 species
GACGAACGCUGGCGGCGUGCUUAACACAUGCAAGUCGAACGGAAAGGCCCUGCUUUUGUGGGGUGCUCGAGUGGCGAACGGGUGAGUAACACGUGAGUAACCUGCCCUUGACUUUGGGAUAACUUCAGGAAACUGGGGCUAAUACCGGAUAGGAGCUCCUGCUGCAUGGUGGGGGUUGGAAAGUUUCGGCGGUUGGGGAUGGACUCGCGGCUUAUCAGCUUGUUGGUGGGGUAGUGGCUUACCAAGGCUUUGACGGGUAGCCGGCCUGAGAGGGUGACCGGCCACAUUGGGACUGAGAUACGGCCCAGACUCCUACGGGAGGCAGCAGUGGGGAAUAUUGCACAAUGGGCGGAAGCCUGAUGCAGCAACGCCGCGUGAGGGAUGACGGCCUUCGGGUUGUAAACCGCUUUCGCCUGUGACGAAGCGUGAGUGACGGUAAUGGGUAAAGAAGCACCGGCUAACUACGUGCCAGCAGCCGCGGUGAUACGUAGGGUGCGAGCGUUGUCCGGAUUUAUUGGGCGUAAAGGGCUCGUAGGUGGUUGAUCGCGUCGGAAGUGUAAUCUUGGGGCUUAACCCUGAGCGUGCUUUCGAUACGGGUUGACUUGAGGAAGGUAGGGGAGAAUGGAAUUCCUGGUGGAGCGGUGGAAUGCGCAGAUAUCAGGAGGAACACCAGUGGCGAAGGCGGUUCUCUGGGCCUUUCCUGACGCUGAGGAGCGAAAGCGUGGGGAGCGAACAGGCUUAGAUACCCUGGUAGUCCACGCUGUAAACGGUGGGUACUAGGUGUGGGGUCCAUUCCACGGGUUCCGUGCCGUAGCUAACGCUUUAAGUACCCCGCCUGGGGAGUACGGCCGCAAGGCUAAAACUCAAAGGAAUUGACGGGGCCCCGCACAAGCGGCGGAGCAUGCGGAUUAAUUCGAUGCAACGCGUAGAACCUUACCUGGGUUUGACAUGGAUCGGGAGCGCUCAGAGAUGGGUGUGCCUCUUUUGGGGUCGGUUCACAGGUGGUGCAUGGCUGUCGUCAGCUCGUGUCGUGAGAUGUUGGGUUAAGUCCCGCAACGAGCGCAACCCUUGUUCACUGUUGCCAGCACGUUAUGGUGGGGACUCAGUGGAGACCGCCGGGGUCAACUCGGAGGAAGGUGGGGAUGACGUCAAGUCAUCAUGCCCCUUAUGUCCAGGGCUUCACGCAUGCUACAAUGGCUGGUACAGAGAGUGGCGAGCCUGUGAGGGUGAGCGAAUCUCGGAAAGCCGGUCUCAGUUCGGAUUGGGGUCUGCAACUCGACCUCAUGAAGUCGGAGUCGCUAGUAAUCGCAGAUCAGCAACGCUGCGGUGAAUACGUUCCCGGGGCU